rnacentral:rRNA from 1 species
GGAUGGGCAUGCGUCUGAUUAGUAGUUGGCGGGGUAAUGGCCCACCAAGACGAUGAUCAGUAGGGGUUCUGAGAGGGAAGAUCCCCCACACUGGCACUGAGAUACGGGCCAGACUCCUACGGGAGGCAGCAGUAGGGAAUAUUGGUCAAUGGAUGCAAGUCUGAACCAGCCAUGCCGCGUGCAGGAAGAAGGCCUUCUGGGUUGUAAACUGCUUUUAUCUGGGGAUAAAAAGGCCUUGCGAGGCAAACUGAAGGUACCAGAUGAAUAAGCCACGGCUAACUACGUG